rnacentral:siRNA from 1 species
GUUCAAUGAAUAUAUUUAUAAGAUGAUAAACAUUCGGAAUAUGACGUUUGCAUUAACUAUGAUCGUUCACUAUAAGUUAUCGAUCGCAGAAAAGCUCCUGCCACAUAUGUGGCAGGAGCUUUUUU